CAUGUCCUUUUGAUUAUGAUUUAAGGUCUAAUCUGCUCAAUGAAGGUUUAAAUUGCCGCAGUAUCUUGACUGUGCAAAGGUAGCAUAAUAAUUAGUUUCUUGAUUAGAAACUGGAAUGAAUGGUUGGACGAGAAAAUAGCUGUCUCUUAUGGAUUAAUUAUUGAAUUUUAUUUUUAAGUUAAAAAGCUUAAAUUAAAAUAAAAGACGAGAAGACCCUAUAGAGUUUAAUAUUUAGGGUUUAUGAAAUUUUGGUAAGCUUAUUGUGCUUUAAAUAUUUAGUUGGGGUGACUUGGGGAUUUAAUUAAUUCUCUAAAUUAUGAAUUGUUGAUAAAUAAAUAGAAAAUCUAGAUUUUUAAAUUUAAAACUAAUUACCUUAGGGAUAACAGCGUAAUCUUUCUUUAAAGUUCUUAUUGAAAGAAAGUUUUGCGACCUCGAUGUUGGAUUAAAAUUAAUUUUUGGUGCAGUAACUUAAAAAUUAGGUCUGUUCGACCUUUAAAAUUUUACAUGAUCUGAGUUUAGACCGGCGUAAGCCAGGUCGGAUUCUAUCUUUAGUUUGUUAAUAUAUUUUAGUACGAAAGGACCAAAUAUAUAUUAAAUUAAUAAUUG
rnacentral:rRNA from 1 species